AUUGAACGCUGGCGGCAGGCUUAACACAUGCAAGUCGAGCGAGCGGCGGACGGGUGAGUAAUGUAUGGGAAACUGCCUGAUGGAGGGGGCUAACUACUGGAAACGGUCGCUAAUACCGCAUACCAUCAGAUGUGCCCCGAUGGGAUUAGCGAGGAGGUGGGGUAAUGGCUCACCUAGGCGACGAUCCCUAGCUGGGCUGAGAGGAUGACCGGCCACACUGGAACUGAGAGCCGGUCCAGACGCCGACGGGAGGCAGCAGUGGGGAAUAUUGCACAAUGGGCGCAAGCCUGAUGCAGCCAUGCCGCGUGUGUGAAGAAGGCUUUCGGGUUGUAAAGCACUUUCAGCGAGGAGGCGUUACUCGCAGAAGAAGCACCGGCUAACUCCGUGCCAGCAGCCGCGGUAAUUC
rnacentral:rRNA from 1 species